rnacentral:rRNA from 1 species
CAUGCAAGUCGAGCGGACCGACGGGAGCUUGCUCCCUUAGGUCAGCGGCGGACGGGUGAGUAACACGUGGGUAACCUGCCUGUAAGACUGGGAUAACUCCGGGAAACCGGGGCUAAUACCGGAUGCUUGAUUGAACCGCAUGGUUCAAUCAUAAAAGGGGGCUUUUAACUACCACUUACAGAAGGACCCGCGGCGCAAUAACUAAUUGGUGAAGUAACGGCUCACCAAGGGGAACAAGCCUAACCCAACUGAAAAGGUGAUCGGCCACACUGGGACUGAAACACGGCCCAAAAUCCUACCGGAAGCAACAAUAAGGAAUUUCUCCCCAAUGGACAAAAUUUUGACGGGAGCAACCCCGCCUGAGUGAUGAAAGGUUUUCGGAUUGUAAAAUUCUGUUGUUAGGGAAGAACAAGUACCGUUCGAAUAGGGCGGUACCUUGACGGUACCUAACCAGAAAGCCACGGCUAAUUACGUGCCAGCAGCCGCGGUAAUACGUAGGUGGCAAGCGUUGUCCGGAAUUAUUGGGCGUAAAGCGCGCGCAGGCGGUUUCUUAAGUCUGAUGUGAAAGCCCCCGGCUCAACCGGGGAGGGUCAUUGGAAACUGGGGAACUUGAGUGCAGAAGAGGAGAGUGGAAUUCCACGUGUAGCGGUGAAAUGCGUAGAGAUGUGGAGGAACACCAGUGGCGAAGGCGACUCUCUGGUCUGUAACUGACGCUGAGGCGCGAAAGCGUGGGGAGCGAACAGGAUUAGAUACCCUGGUAGUCCACGCCGUAAACGAUGAGUGCUAAGUGUUAGAGGGUUUCCGCCCUUUAGUGCUGCAGCAAACGCAUUAAGCACUCCGCCUGGGGAGUACGGUCGCAAGACUGAAACUCAAAGGAAUUGACGGGGGCCCGCACAAGCGGUGGAGCAUGUGGUUUAAUUCGAAGCAACGCGAAGAACCUUACCAGGUCUUGACAUCCUCUGACAACCCUAGAGAUAGGGCUUCCCCUUCGGGGGCAGAGUGACAGGUGGUGCAUGGUUGUCGUCAGCUCGUGUCGUGAGAUGUUGGGUUAAGUCCCGCAACGAGCGCAACCCUUGAUCUUAGUUGCCAGCAUUCAGUUGGGCACUCUAAGGUGACUGCCGGUGACAAACCGGAGGAAGGUGGGGAUGACGUCAAAUCAUCAUGCCCCUUAUGACCUGGGCUACACACGUGCUACAAUGGGCAGAACAAAGGGCAGCGAAGCCGCGAGGCUAAGCCAAUCCCACAAAUCUGUUCUCAGUUCGGAUCGCAGUCUGCAACUCGACUGCGUGAAGCUGGAAUCGCUAGUAAUCGCGGAUCAGCAUGCCGCGGUGAAUACGUUCCCGGGCCUUGUACACACCGCCCGUCACACCACGAGAGUUUGUAACACCCGAAGUCGGUGAGGUAACCUUUGGAGCCAGCCGCCGAAGGUGGACAGAAUGGU